GGGUUUAUGAAUGGAAAGUUACUCAACUUUCUAAUCCCUCGUGCUUCAGGUUGAGUUGCAUCCCAUGAAAGGGUUGGAGCUAUCUGGUUCUUUCCUUGAGAGGGUUGAAGGUAUCAGGUUAAUAAUAUGGAACGAUUACUGAAUUCUGUUGCAGGCUCUUGCUAGUGGCAUCCACGGACGGACGAUUUGAAUUGAAGAAGAGUGGCUGAUAAUUUAUACUUUCGGAGAUUAUGGCCGGCAAAUAUUUUUUAGCUAAUUUAUAUAUCUAAUCAUGACUGUAGUACUCUUCCUUUAUACAACUCUGUAACUGUACUUGAUUAUGAAUGAGAGGUCUUGCUGUCAGAUAAAUGUAAACUGAAAUCAAGGAAAUGUCCAUUAUCAACACUAGUGGGAGUCAGUCAUGUAUCUCUUUCCUUUAUAGAUGCUGCUUGUGAAGCUAGCCGUUGUAUUCAGAUUCAUGAAUUUACUAUAAACACAACAAUUUG
rnacentral:lncRNA from 1 species